CGGAGAGGGGCGAUAGGGCACAUUUCUUAAUUUCCCUUCAGCGCCGCUUCCCCCACCAUCCAGACCUGGACACGCGACGAGACCGCGGGACGGCCCUGUUUCCCGUUCACACAGCGAUCCAAUGUAUUAUUCACGAGCGAAACUUCAGCAACUUGUCCACUGGAUAUGGCUCCCGGUUUGAGGAGUGGGCGGACAGGUCACCUCAGAGUGGCGGGAACCGGCGGGGCAGACCCCGAUGGGUGCUCGCCGCAGCGGACGGAUGCAGGAGGAGAGGGGAGGUGUUUGAGGACCAGGUUGCGAGUCGGAGCAGCGGGGAUGCUUGCAAACUGUCUGCUGUCUGUAGCAGUGCUUUUACUUCUUGUCCGGUGCUCUUUGGCCGCAGAGGAAAAAUCCACCUACGAUGCCUCAGGCUCCUCACCUUUACCGAGCGACCCAGCAGUCACAGGCGUUCCUGCUCACCCAUCGGCUGACCUGUCAGUGGCUGAGGAGGUGCCUUUCCCAGUUGUCCAUUCAGACAGUCACUCAGACACUGAUGCGGAGGGCUUAUCGGGGCAGCCUGCUUUUUCUUCUGUCUUAACCAUGAUGGCAGGAACUGUCAAACAUCCAGUGAGCCUUGAUCAAAGUAGAACCUUGCCAACUAUCACCAGGGAUGAGAUCCAUACCACCCAAUGGCCUUCACGUAAUUCCAGCCAGGGCUCAGACAUGUCCUCCUCAUCGUCACAUGUGGGAGCCAGCUCAGAAGCAGAGACGGAUGAAUUAACCGCUGGAACUUCCAAAACAGUUGGACUCACUUUCCCCAAAGAAAAAGAGGCUAGUUUAAGCCCCUCUCAAUCAGUCAGAAUUACCCAUUCUGCUGGGCCUACCGAGAGGACAACUCAGGUAUCACCUCUGACCCCUCGACAAGACACCACGACAGCCUCUGUUAAGCUUUCCACCACUACGGCUUCAACCACAAAAACUAAAAACUCCACCACUACCAUGCCUUCCCUAAGAGUCACUACGCAGUCAACCACCACUACCACACCACAGACCACGUUCGCGACCGGGAAAACC
ensembl:lncRNA